rnacentral:rRNA from 1 species
CUGGCGGCGUGCCUAUCAUGCAAGUUUNGCGGACCUCAUAGGAAGCUUGCUUUUUAUGAGGUUAGCGGCGGACGGGUGAGUAACACGUGGGUAACCUGCCCUAUAGACCGGGAUAACNCGCGGAAACGCGUGCUAAUACCGGAUAACACAGCGGAGCGCAUGCUCCGGUGUUGAAAGGUGGUUCUGCUACCGCUAUAGGAUGGGCCCGCGGCGCAUUAGCUGGUUGGUGGGGUAACGGCCUACCAAGGCGACGAUGCGUAGCCGACCUGAGAGGGUGAUCGGCCACACUGGGACUGAGACACGGCCCAGACUCCUACGGGAGGCAGCAGUAGGGAAUCUUCCACAAUGGGCGAAAGCCUGAUGGAGCAACGCCGCGUGAGCGAAGAAGGUCUUCGGAUCGUAAAGCUCUGUUGUAAGGGAAGAACAAGUGCGGUAGUAACUGACCGCACCCUGACGGUACCUUACGAGAAAGCCACGGCUAACUACGUGCCAGCAGCCGCGGUAAUACGUAGGUGGCGAGCGUUGUCCGGAAUUAUUGGGCGUAAAGCGCGCGCAGGCGGUCUCUUAAGUCUGAUGUGAAAGCCCCCGGCUCAACCGGGGAGGGUCAUUGGA